UACGAAGGGUGCAAGCGUUAAUCGGAAUUACUGGGCGUAAAGGGUGCGUAGGCGGUUGUUUAAGUCUGUCGUGAAAUCCCCGGGCUCAACCUGGGAAUGGCGAUGGAUACUGGGCAGCUAGAGUGUGUCAGAGGAUGGUGGAAUUCCCGGUGUAGCGGUGAAAUGCGUAGAGAUCGGGAGGAACAUCAGUGGCGAAGGCGGCUUCCUGGGGCCAUCCUGACACUGAGAAGCGAAAGCUAGGGGAGCGAACGGG
rnacentral:rRNA from 1 species